GACGAACGCUGGCGGCGUGCCUAACACAUGCAAGUCGAGCGGAGUCGAUCGACGGAAGCCUUCGGGCGGAAGAUGGUUGACUUAGCGGCGGAUGGGUGAGUAACGCGUGGGCAACCUGCCUCGAAGACCGGGAUAACAGCCCGAAAGGGCUGCUAAUACCGGAUGUGGUCAAAGAUCCGCAUGGAUUUUGAUUAAAGGGGAAACCCGUUUCGAGAUGGGCCCGCGUCCUAUCAGCUAGUUGGUGAGGUAAAAGACUCACCAAGGCGACGACGGGUAGCCGGCCUGAGAGGGUGACCGGCCACACUGGAACUGAGACACGGUCCAGACUCCUACGGGGGGCAGCAGUGGGGAAUCUUCCACAAUGGGCGAAAGCCUGAUGGAGCGACGCCGCGUGAGCGAAGAAGGCCUUCGGGUUGUAAAGCUCUGUCUGGAGGGACGAAGGAAGUGACGGUACCUCCGGAGGAAGCCACGGCUAACUACGUG
rnacentral:rRNA from 1 species